UCUCUCUCAAACAACCCUUCUCUCUCUAGGAAGAUAUCCUCCUUUCACGAUUUUUUCUUAGAAAAAUUGUGGAUCUCGGUUUCAUGUUUUUCUUCGAUCCUUGUCUCACGAUCACUCACAGUUUCGCUCUGAAAAAUUUCAACUUUGAUCUCGUGUGCAGAAUCAAGCUCUCUCUCUCUCUCUCUCUUUAUUGGAUAACCAGAUGAAUUGUUUCCCAUCUCUAUAUAUCUCGAUUCAUCUCUAAGGAAAAAUUAUGGUCCUUAGUUGCUUGAUUGAGUUGACGCUGGACGUAAAGAUUCUAAAGCAUAUGAUGUUUCGAGGAUUCAAGCUUAUCAUUCACCGGGUGGAGGACCUUUGUACUGGAUUCCUCAUAGUUUGUAGUUCUAGCGCCUCUUUUGAUUAGGCACUCAGUUUGGUAUUGGAUUUGUUGGUUCUUACUACACGGCUCUAUUCAUUAUAGAAUUCGGAAUUCACUUAAGAAGCUUUUUGAGCAUGAAAGUGCCGAGCAGAGAAAGGAACUUGCAUAUCAACUUGUUGGCCACUUUUUUCCUUCAAGUCUUCAGAUGUAUGGAUGUCGUGUAAUCCAAAAGGUAUUAUUGCAGUAAAGUUUAUGUAAAUGAAAGCUUCCGCUAUUUCUCUAGAUGUUAUGAACUUAUUUACCUACGAAGACUAUGUGUAAUCCACGCAUCAUAUAAUCUUCUGCAUACUUGAAAACUUUUCCUUUUGGGUCUAAAUAUUAUACCCCUUACUACUCAACUCUCUGGAAUUAGUACUUUAUUGUGUUAUCAAGGCUAUGUUUAAUCUGCAGAAUACUUGAGUACUGCUUCUUUUGAGACUAAAUAUGAUACCCAUUACUAAGUACUUAUUUGAGAUGUUUGAAGAUAUUUCUCAAUUGAGGAGAGGGUUUUCUUGCUUAUUUACCUACGUCUGAUAUAUAGAUUAUCUUUGAAGAUGCUAAACAAUGGACGAUCCCUUAUGGUGGAUAAAAUUAUCCAGGGACUUGUGGAUAUUGAGUUUGAUCAGAAACCACAGCUUGUUUAUGAGCUUGAUGGAUUUUUAUUGAAAUGUAUGCUUGAUGGAAUCAUGUGAUGCAGAAAUGUGUGACUGUGUUCCAACAGAGGAAACUGGAUUCGUAAUUUCUGCAUUUCGUAAACAAGGUGCAGCACCAUCUACAUAUCCCUACGGUUGACGAGUUAUUCAGGGACUUAGUUUUACUCUAGAAAUGCAAUUGAAGGCGAUAAAAAACUUUUCCAGACUCUUGCUCGUGUGAUUUUUCUAAAUCCUGAUUUGUUACUUGUUGACAAGCUUACGGUAUGUGCUCUUUAUAAAGAUAUGGAUCAGGCUGUUACUUCCCAUUGUGGUUUGUUAAUACGAAAUCUAAUUUAGGCCGGCAGCGUAUUACCACGAGGAAACUUUUAACAGUUCAAUCGGUGUAUGAAUUAGAUUGAUAGAGUGCAAAAUUCACUUAAGGUUUGUGGCCUCUUCAACUUUUGUUGUUAUAACAUUUGUUUUUUACAUCGGUGCGGUUACGAUGUGGUCGUGCCACAUCAUUCAAGUAUGUGGCCCAUCUUUAAAUAGUGACACAUAGUUUUUUUGUUCUCCAAAACAGCUUAUUACCUAACUUUUUGUCUUAACUUCCUACUUUUUCUCAAAAAGGUAAAACAAUUACGGAUAUUUAGAGGGGGCAGGUUUUUAAUAUGAGUAUGUGUCAAAAUAUGAAGAGGGUCCACAUACAAAAUAUAUGUGGCCCGAACACAUCAUAAUCCGAGCGUUUUUACAUAGUAAGUACCAGCCUGAAAAACACCAGAAAACAUACAUCUAGGCUAUCUAGCCCAGUGGUUACUUCUGACUUAAGACUUCAGUAUGCUAUAUUGUUAUAUAUGCUAUUUACCUUGCUCUUAUCGGCACUGUUUUUUCCAAUUGAAAACUAAAGUCAUGUAGAUCGGAAAUCAACAAAAUUGGAAUAUGUAUGGGUUAAUUAAAAUUUCAAGCCAUUUAACUACAAUUUGGAAUCAUAAAUGGGUUAUUCAAAAUUUUGAACUGUGAGCUUACAUUCUGGGAUAUGAAGUAUUAAAGAUGUCAUGUGAGAUAGUUUUAAGAGAGAUAGGGGUGGUUCAGUUAGAAUAUGUGGUGAGAUGUUUGGGAAAAUCUAGGAGUCUGAGUAUUAGUAAUUUUAAGUUUUUAAAGUCUUGCUUACUGCUGACGUUUUCUUCUGGCACUGUUUAAUGCUAUUCGUUAUUCUAUUAAUAAAAGAGCUUGUGUGUUGUUGCUUUAAAAAUGUAAUUUUGGGUAAUUAUCUUGUAUUCAUUUUUCGGAGGAAGUUCGAGUGCUAUGAAGAAGAGACCAUGGAUAAUAAACCAAGUCAAAGUGUUGGUGACAUGAUUGUGUUUGUCCAAAUUUCGGUUCAAUCAUUGGUGCAUGAAGUUGCAGGUGUGUUGGUCCAUCUUUGGGUAUCAAAACAUGAAGAGAGUAGAUUCCGAUGAACUUUACGAAAAAUGGAUAUCAUUUCCUAUUUCUUUGUCAAUUUCUUUUAGC